GACGUAGGGCGCGAGCGUUUGUCCGGAUUUAUUGGGCGUAAAGAGCUCGUAGGCGGUUUGUCGCGUCUGCUGUGAAAAUCCAGGGCUUAACCCUGGACCUGCAGUGGGUACGGGCAGACUAGAGUGCGGUAGGGGGAGAUCGGAAUUCCUGGUGUAGCGGUGAAAUGCGCAGAUAUCAGGAGGAACACCGGUGGCGAAGGCGGAUCUCUGGGCCGUAACUGACGCUGAGGAGCGAAAGCGUGGGGAGCGAACAGGA
rnacentral:rRNA from 1 species